rnacentral:rRNA from 1 species
GAGUUACUAAUAAUCGCACAGCAGAAUGCUGCGGUGAAUGCGUUCCCGGGUCUUGUACACACCGCCCGUCACACCACGGGAGUUGGAGACGCCCGAAGCCGAUUAUCUAACCUUUUGGAAGAAGUCGGCGAAGGUGGAAUCAAUAACUGGGGUGAAGUCGUAACAAGGUAGCCGUAUCGGAAGGUGCGGCUGGAUCACCUCCUUUCUAAGGAGA